rnacentral:rRNA from 1 species
UACAGAGGGGGCAAGCGUUGUUCGGAAUUACUGGGCGUAAAGGGCGCGUAGGCGGCCCGUCAAGUCCCGUGUGAAAGCCCCCGGCUCAACCGGGGAACGGCGCGGGAAACUAGCAGGCUUGAGUUCGGGAGAGGGAAGCGGAAUUCCGGGUGUAGCGGUGAAAUGCGCAGAUAUCCGGAGGAACACCGGUGGCGAAGGCGGCUUCCUGGACCGACACUGACGCUGAGGCGCGAAAGCUAGGGGAGCAAACGGG